rnacentral:rRNA from 1 species
UACAGAGGGGGCGAGCGUUGUUCGGAAUUACUGGGCGUAAAGGGCGCGUAGGCGGCCAACUAAGUCAGACGUGAAAUCCCUCGGCUCAACCGGGGAACUGCGUCUGAUACUGGAUGGCUUGAAUUCGGGAGAGGGAUGCGGAAUUCCAGGUGUAGCGGUGAAAUGCGUAGAUAUCUGGAGGAACACCGGUGGCGAAGGCGGCAUCCUGGACCGAGAUUGACGCUGAGUGCGCGAAAAGCCAGGGGAGCAAACGGG